UUUCCCUAGGUGAACCUGCGGAAGGAUCAUUAUUGUAUAACCGAGGUGCGAGGGCUGUCGCUGACCCGAAAGGUCGUGCACGCCCGAGUGCCCUCACACACAUCCAUCUCACCCCUAUUUGCACCACCGCGUGGGUCCCCCUUUGGCUUGUUCGGAGGGGGGCUUACGUUUUCACACAAACUUUGUAUGCAGUGUAGAAUGUAUUUUUUGUUUUUGCGAUCACGCAAUCAAUACAACUUUCAACAACGGAUCUCUUGGCUCUC
rnacentral:misc_RNA from 1 species